AUUCAGUGAAUGAGAUCGUGGGGGUGGCUCCUGAGGAGCCCUGGGUAGAGUUUAGAGCCAGUAAGUUAAGUCUCUGGGUGACAAGGGUUACUAUAGACAAAUGUCUACGCUUGCUCAUCGGAAAAGUAGAAAAUGUCUGGGAAAGAACUGAGACCACCGCAAGGCCUCCCGUGCUCAGGUUACUUGGAAAUCUCUCUAUGCAGAAGGAAUAUCGUCCCCAUAAAGGGGCAACCUUAAAGGUAGCUGUGGCUCAUCGUACUGGGAUGAUCAACUCUCUGCUGCUAACAUGCUUCGGUUAAGACUCUGGGAUCCCGGUGAGAUGGCUCAGAGGGAAAGAACACUGACUGCUUUUCCAAGGAUUUGGAUUCGAUUCCCAGCACCCACAUGGUAGCUCACACCAACUGUAACUCCAGCUCUAGGGGAUCUGACCUGAUGGAUCUAAUGCACACUUUUCUGGGCUCAGGCAUCAGACAUACGUGGUGCACAUGGAUUACAGGGUGAUGUAAGAACUCUGCAAUGUCUGGUGGAACACAGGGAAAGAGAUCCAGCCAGAUAGAGCAGUCAAAAGUCUGCGGUUUGGAAGCGACCGGGGGAGUCCCGGAGUCGCGCAGGCUGCUGAAGAGCAUGAGGUCGGUUGGAGGAAAGGCGGAUUUGUGGGAAUGAUGAACGACAGAUACAGAGAAAUCAGCAGGGGUUCCAUGGCGGCGCUUCAGUUUGGAGGCAGGGUCUUGCUCUUUCGCCCAAGAUGGCCUUCAACUCAUGGUCCUUCUGCUUCAGCCAUCCAAAUGCCACGGUUACAGUCUUGAAUCACGAAAGUCUGCCAAAUCUGUAGUGUGGUUUUGUGUGUUUGGGUUGGUUUUGAUUUUCUGAGGCAAGAUUCCCCA
rnacentral:lncRNA from 1 species